rnacentral:rRNA from 1 species
GCAAGUCGGACGGCAGCAGGUCCUUCGGGAUGCUGGCGAGUGGCGGACGGGUGAGUAAUGCGUAGGAACCUAUCCUUUUGUGGGGGACAACCCAGGGAAACUUGGGCUAAUACCGCAUAAGCCCUGAGGGGGAAAGCGGGGGAUCUUCGGACCUCGUGCUGAAGGAGGGGCCUACGUCCGAUUAGCUAGUUGGGGGGGUAACGGCCUCCCAAGGCGACGAUGGGUAGCCGGCCUGAGAGGGUGAACGGCCACACUGGGACUGAGACACGGCCCAGACUCCUACGGGAGGCAGCAGUAGGGAAUCUUCCACAAUGGGCGCAAGCCUGAUGGAGCAACGCCGCGUGAGUGAAGACGGCCUUCGGGUUGUAAAGCUCUGUCUGUCGGGACGAAGACCGGGACGGGAGUCCCGGGGAGCCGGUACCGACGAAGGAAGCCCCUGCAAACUACGUGCCAGCAGCCGCGGUAAGACGUAGGGGGCAAGCGUUGUCCGGAAUUACUGGGCGUAAAGGGCGUGUAGGCGGUGCGAUACGUAGCGGUUUUAAGCCUCCGGCUCACCCGGAGGAGGGCGGCUAAACGGUCGCACUGGAGGGCAGGAGAGGUGCGUGGAAUUCCUGGUGGAGCGGUGAAAUGCGUA